rfam:Oryza sativa Japonica Group DNA, chromosome 3, cultivar: Nipponbare, complete sequence.
UUUAAGUACAACCAUAAGUUUUCGCGCUCAACUUUGAUCGUCCGUCUUAUUUGAAAUUUUUUUAUAAUUAGUAUUUUUAUUGUUAUGAGAUGAUAAAACAUGUAUAGUACUUUACUUGUGAUUUAUGUUUUUAAAAUUUUUUUAAAAUUUUUUUAAAUAAGACGGACGAUCAAAAUUGGGCAUGAAAAAUCAUGGCUAUACUUAAA